GGUGCAUGGUUGUCGUCAGCUCGUGUCGUGAGAUGUUGGGUUAAGUCCCGCAACGAGCGCAACCCUCGACCUUAGUUGCCAGCAUUCAGUUGGGCACUCUAAGGUGACUGCCGGCUAAAAGUCGGAGGAAGGUGGGGAUGACGUCAAAUCAUCAUGCCCCUUAUGACCUGGGCUACACACGUGCUACAAUGGGCGGUACAAAGGGUCGCGAACCCGCGAGGGGGAGCCAAUCCCAAAAAGCCGCUCUCAGUUCGGAUUGCAGGCUGCAACUCGCCUGCAUGAAGCCGGAAUCGCUAGUAAUCGCGGAUCAGCAUGCCCGCGGUCGAAUACGUUCCCGGGCCUU
rnacentral:rRNA from 1 species